CCAGAGGCCUUUCCCGAACACUCGACGCAGCGACACCCUCCCUCAAAAGGACACACACAUUCGACCCCUUUCUUGCUUGUGCGUUUCUUCACACACAUUCAGUUCCGUGUGACGCGGCGAUCGUGCCCCUUGUUUCGUCCAUCCACGCCCCGGCUCGGUGGCCCCCGCAGAGGUCCGGCGCGCUUAGCUCACCGCCCAGCUCCGGCUCCGGUCACCGCGCCGGCUCCUCGACAACCGCAGGCACCCGCCGGCCGGGAAGCGAGCCUGCAGCCCUCAGCGCGGCGUCCCUGGCACCCACAGGGGGUCACUCCGCUCGUGCCUCUUCACACCGACCACAGGUCCCGGCCCAGCGCCUCCCGGGCAGUGUGAGCCCGCGGUGGGCACCCCCGGGCGGGCUCGUCAGACAGGCCGGGGCGCGAAGGCCAGAGCGGCGGACCGGGCGGACGACGAAUGAGGCCCAAGAACUGACCUUUCCCGCAGCGAUUCCCGGGGCAGCGAACUCCCGAGACUUCCCCCGGGCUCUGCCCCCUCCCGCGUGCGGCGUCGGCGUCAGGGGACUCGCGCAGGCGCCGUCCAGCUCCGCCGCGCGGCCUUAGGUCCCGGUGGGCCCGGACUCCGGCGGACGUGGCCCCUCGGAAGCGAGAACUUGCCGUGAGAAACGGAAGGGCCGCGCCCCUCCCUGGCCUGGUGAGCAACAGAACAGGAGAAAAACGAGCCACGCGGGGGCCCCGUCGAAGCAGGAGACACAACCGAGCGGCCGAAGCAGGCGACUGUGUAUCUUCCGGACAGAGAACAGCGCGUUUGCGAAGCGGCGACCAGACUGACGGCAAACACGCUACACUGUGACGGGAGACAGCCGUACUGGGAACGCGCCCCAUGAUGGCCCAAGCCACUUCAGCUAAAGACGUUGGGGCGAGUGUGGGACAGAGGCGGUUACGGAAGUGACCAGGCCAAGCACCGGAAGGGCUGCCACAGACUCGAGUCUGGGCUCCGCCGCGCCCCACCCCCACCCCCCCACAUCCCCCUCCCACACAAUUUCUAGCCUUGUCUAAUCAGUAAACAGUACCAGCUCUCUCCUCCAAAUUUACUGCUGAAAAGAAAACUACGGGACCCAAAAGUGUCCCUUGGGUCAAGUCACCAAACCUGGGCUUCCUGCCUGACCCGACUGCAGUUUUGACUUCCCCCAGAAAUGCAGCCUUACCCAGUCAGCAGGAACUCUCUCUUUGGCACCACCUUGUCAGCCCACCACCUGGGCCUCUGCAUCCUGUACUGCAAAGCAAAAGAAGGCAAUUUGCAGGAUAAAACCCUCAGUUUUUCUCCCUAAGGGAAGUGACCUUCCCUGGGACAAUCUUUUCUUUUCUUUUGCUAAUAACUUACUUAUCCCACCCUCCCUCCUGCAAAAGCCUCCCAUUUUGUACACUGCACACCAUCCCCCAGCUCCCCUAUGCUUGCUGGGUAGGACACCGCCCAAGGCAUGAAUUAUUUAAUAAAGCCAAUUGGAUUGUUUAAAAAGCAACCACCACAGCAGGCCCCAACUGGCAUCAUUGAAGGUAAGCCCCCAAAUCAGGAAACCAAGACUUAAUCCCUAAUCUAACUGCAGUUUCACCCUCCAGGAAUGUAACCUUUGACCAGUCCACAGGGGAUUUCCUGGUCAAUACUAAGGCAUUUACUAUAGACCCCUUCAGCAACCCUUAGAAGGGCGGCCUUGCCUAAACAAUGCAUACCCUGAUAAUAAAUU